AUUGAACGCUGGCGGCAUGCCUUACACAUGCAAGUCGAACGGCAGCACGGGUGCUUGCACCUGGUGGCGAGUGGCGAACGGGUGAGUAAUAUAUCGGAACGUACCUUAUUGUGGGGGAUAACGCAGCGAAAGCUGUGCUAAUACCGCAUAAUCCCUUAGGGGGAAAGCGGGGGACCGUAAGGCCUCGCGCAAUUAGAGCGGCCGAUACCUGAUUAGCUAGUUGGUGAGGUAAAGGCUCACCAAGGCGACGAUCAGUAGCUGGUCUGAGAGGACGAGCAGCCACACUGGCACUGAGACACGGCCCCGACUCCUACGGGAGGCAGGAGUGGGGAAUUUUGGACAAUGGGGGCAACCCUGAACCAGCAAUGCCGCGUGAGUGAAGAAGGCCUUCGGGUUGUAAAGCUCUUUUGUCAGGGAAGAAACAGCAGCUCUAACACAGUAUGCGAAUGACGGUACCUGAAGAAUAAGCACCGGCUAACUACGUGCCAGCAGCCGCCGUAA
rnacentral:rRNA from 1 species